GGGAGCGUUCUGUAAGCCGAUGAAGGUGUAUUGAGAAGUAUGCUGGAGGUAUCAGAAGUGCGAAUGCUGACGUGAGUAACGACAAAACGGGUGAAAAACCCGUUCGCCGAAAGACCAAGGGUUCCAGUCCAACGUUAAUCGGGGCUGGGUGAGUCGACCCCUAAGGCGAGGCCGAAAGGCGUAGUCGAUGGGAAAAUGGUUAAUAUUCCAUUACUUCUGUGUAAUGCGAUGAGAGGACGGAGAAGGCUAAAUCAGCCUGGCGUUGGUUGUCCAGGUGAAAGGAUGUAGGCAUGUAUCUUAGGCAAAUCCGGGGUACUCUAUGCUGAGAUCUGAUAGCAAGCUGUACUUGUACAGCGAAGUGGUUGAUGCCAUGCUUCCAGGAAAAGUCUCUAAGCUUCAGUUACACAGGAAUCGUACCCGAAACCGACACAGGUGGUCAGGUCGAGUAGACCAAGGCGCUUGAGAGAACUCUGCUGAAGGAACUAGGCAAAAUGGUACCGUAACUUCGGGAGAAGGUACGCUGUUGUUGGUGAUGGAACUCGCUUCCUGAGCUGACGACAGCCGCAGAAACCAGGCCGCUGCAACUGUUUAUUAAAAACAUAGCACUCUGCAAACACGAAAGUGGACGUAUAGGGUGUGAUGCCUGCCCGGUGCUGGAAGGUUAAUUGAUGGGGUUAGCGUAAGCGAAGCUCUUGAUCGAAGCCCCAGUAAACGGCGGCCGUAACUAUAACGGUCCUAAGGUAGCGAAAUUCCUUGUCGGGUAAGUUCCGACCUGCACGAAUGGCAUAAUGAUGGCGGCGCUGUCUCCAGCAGAGGCUCAGUGAAAUCGAAAUCGCUGUGAAGAUGCAGUGUACCCGCGGCUAGACGGAAAGACCCCGUGAACCUUUACUGCAGCUUGACACUGAACUUUGACCUUACUUGUGUAGGAUAGGUGGGAGGCUUUGAAGCUGGAACGCUAGUUCCAGUGGAGCCGUCCUUGAAAUACCACCCUGGUAAUGUUGAGGUUCUAACUCUGUCCCGUGAUCCGGGACGAGGACCGUGUCUGGUGGGUAGUUUGACUGGGGCGGUCUCCUCCUAAAGAGUAACGGAGGAGUACGAAGGUGCGCUCAGCGUGGUCGGAAAUCACGCGUAGAGUAUAAAGGCAAAAGCGCGCUUAACUGCGAGACCCACAAGUCGAGCAGGUACGAAAGUAGGUCUUAGUGAUCCGGUGGUUCUGUAUGGAAGGGCCAUCGCUCAACGGAUAAAAGGUACUCUGGGGAUAACAGGCUGAUACCGCCCAAGAGUUCAUAUCGACGGCGGUGUUUGGCACCUCGAUGUCGGCUCAUCUCAUCCUGGGGCUGAAGCAGGUCCCAAGGGUAUGGCUGUUCGCCAUUUAAAGAGGUACGCGAGCUGGGUUUAGAACGUCGUGAGACAGUUCGGUCCCUAUCUACCGUGGGCGCUGGAAAUUUGAGAGGAUCUGCUCCUAGUACGAGAGGACCAGAGUGGACGAACCUCUGGUGUACCGGUUGUGACGCCAGUCGCAUCGCCGGGUAGCUAUGUUCGGAAGGGAUAACCGCUGAAAGCAUCUAAGCGGGAAGCCUACCUCAAGAUAAGAUUUCCCUAGGACUUUAUGUCCUCUAAAGAGCCGUUCGAGACUAGGACGUUGAUAGGUUGGAUGUGGAAGCAUAGUGAUAUGUGAAGCUGACCAAUACUAAUUGCUCGUGAGGCUUGACUAU
rnacentral:rRNA from 1 species